rnacentral:lncRNA from 1 species
AAGAAGGGAGCUGAUGGUGUUGCAGGAGAUGACGGUGUCGCUUGCACUUUCCCCACUUGCACAACCGGAGAGUGGCGACGUGUGUGGUGGUUUCCAACCACCCAUUUUGUCCUUCUCCACUCCAUUUUUCGUUCCGGAUCCAAUGGUACCCUUUUAGAACCAUUCGAGGCACGUAUUUGGGUGUGUGAGUUACACUCUCUCUUCUUGGAGGGUAGGUAUAUUAAAUUAUUUUCUAUUUUAUUCUCUUGUUCAAUUUUAGGUUUGGGUAUGUUAAGUCAUGGGCUAUAUUCCAAAUACAGCCUUAAAAUAAUGCAAAACUCAUCUUCAGCCAUGGGCAAAACAAAAUUUUUUUGGCCUUUUAGCCCUCCAACCGGGCCAAAUGUAGCCCAGCUUUGGCUUAUGCCAAAUUUGAAGUGGGGCCCAUCUAAAUGCUUUUCAACAGCCAAUAUUGAUAUAUAUAUAUUUUUAAAAGCCUUUUGAAUGUUUCAAUUCGUAGUGUUUAAGAAAAAAAGUAUAAAAAAUUGUUGGCAAUCACGUUGGAGGUCAAACUGACCCACUCCUUUUUUCUUUUUUCUUUUUUUAAAUAAUAAAUGUGGCCAGCUUUUCAAAUCUUUUCAAGUGUUGUUUAAAAACAAUUAUAAAAAAGUCUUGUUCAUGACCAUUGGAGCUCAAACAUCAAAACCCAUUCCUUUUUUCUUUUCUUUUUUUGUCUUCACAUUUUUAAAUGUUUGGUAUUGUUUUAAAAAAUUAUAAAAAAUUC